UGAGCGCGGCUGGAGAUGCGUGCGCGUGUGCGAGUGCUCCAGGGCAAUGGCCGAACGGACUUCAACAAAUAAGAGCGAAGCCCUGCUCCGGUUGCAGCUAAAGAAGGGCAAGCGGGGACGGUCUGCAGUCGCACAGCGUUCCCCGGUCUCCCAUCACAUCAGCAUCGGGCUGGGAAAGUUUCCCCUUUCCACCAUUCAGCGCGGAUUCCAGGCUGGGCUGCAGGGAUCCAGGUGACUGUAUGGACUUGCAUCAUUUCCAUUUCCAGGAGAGUGGCGGGGAGGCCCAGGCAGCCCUGAGUCAGCCCGCCGCGGAGCAUCGCGUGCCCCAGAGGCCAGAGCUUGAAAGGCAACUUUACGCGUCUCCAAACACACUUCCAUUUUCCCAAAGCGCUACUCGCUGCUCCGCUCCGGGUUCCCUUUACUUUCCAGUCAUCAGAUGGAAGUGGUGAAAAUAAAAACUUAAAAGCAAAA